rnacentral:lncRNA from 1 species
UCCUAGUAUAUACAUAUAGGUAAAGCAAAAGUGAGAUCAGCAAAUCUUAUCAGCUUUUUUUUUUCAUAAAUAUAUGGUGCUUAUUAGAUUUGCUCUUAUAAGAUUUUAACUCUCUCUAGAAACUCUCUAACUUCUCUCUUAAAACAAAGUUCAUCCUCCUUGCCGGUGUGUGUUUUUUCCGGCGGUGGUGCGCCACCAGUGCCACCGUCGGAAUAGCUUUGGAUUUUUGUUUUGUUUUUGCGUUUUAAGUGUCUAUUUAGUUCCCUCUCCAACAUCGGUGACAAUCGUUUUGCAUCGUCUGGUUGGUUUUUGACUCUGGUGUCAUCACUUUAUACUCCAGUGAGGGCAUCCGGCUCUUGACUCUGAUUUCAACCUUUCUUCAAGGUGAAGUCGGCUUUUCCGAUUGAUUCCAAAUCAAUGGGAUGUCUCUGUUUUUAAGUCUUGGUGGUUUGGUGUUGCGGAUGAGAUCUCGACUUCGGUCGAGCGAAGCUCUCUGUUGUAAGGUGGUUCCGAUGUGUGUGAAGACCUUCUCUGGAAUUAUGGUUGUGAUAUGGAUGAGAUCUCGAUUAGGGACGAUUGACGUUCUUCGAUCGAUGGAUCUGAUGCAAAGAAGGUGUGGGCUUCACAGCUGGUGGUUUCUUUGGGUGUGGUACUGUUCCCGGUUAGGUUCCGGUGGGUUGCCGUGUUUCCGGCGACGACAUGCAAUUUGAUGAAGGCGGUGGAGACUUCCCAACACGUGACCUUUUGUCCUCGUGGUAGGGACGUGUUGUUUUCUCUUGUGCUGUGGGUUUACUUAGGCCAUUGUUGGGCUUUGUUCGUUUUUUUUGGUUUAUGUCGUAGGGUUGUAUGUUGGUUGAAUGUCUUUUAUGUGGGCUUUUUAUAUAUGUAAAAGUACUAUCAAUAAAUAUCAGUGAAAAAAAAAAGAUUUGCUCUUAUAAGGUGGACCAACAGUUUGUUAUAUUUUCUUUUUCCUUUGCCUUUUGUUACCGACACAUGUUAUUGGAGGCAUCGUAUGAUGUUGUCCACGCGCACACAAUAUAAUUAUAUAAACACUACCAAGUCAUCGGC